rnacentral:rRNA from 1 species
CCUACGGGGUGCAGCAGUGAGGAAUAUUGGUCAAUGGACGAGAGUCUGAACCAGCCAAGUAGCGUGAAGGAUGACUGCCCUAUGGGUUGUAAACUUCUUUUAUAAAGGAAUAAAACGAGGCACGUGUGCCUUUUUGCAUGUACUUUAUGAAUAAGGAUCGGCUAACUCCGUGCCAGCAGCCGCGGUAAUACGGAGGAUCCGAGCGUUAUCCGGAUUUAUUGGGUUUAAAGGGAGCGUAGAUGGGUUGUUAAGUCAGUUGUGAAAGUUUGCGGCUCAACCGUAAAAUUGCAAUUGAUACUGGCAGUCUUGAGUACAGUUGAGGUAGGCGGAAUUCGUGGUGUAGCGGUGAAAUGCUUAGAUAUCACGAAGAACCCCGAUUGCGAAGGCAGCUCACUAAACUGUGACUGACAUUGAUGCUCGAAAGUGUGGGUAUCAAACAGGAUUAGAUACCCCUGUAGUC